AGUAAGUAAAGAGGCAAGAAAAAAUGUCUCCCCGUGGUUCAAAAGCCAACUAAAGUUUACCAAGAGCUGUGACCUGUGGUUAAAAUGUCCUCAGAGGCCAGCUCUCAUCUGAUUUCAACCUGAAGCCCCAUUUCCUAUCAAGAGAGCCAUUUGGCUCCUCUCUUAAGCUCAGCAGCCCUGAGGUGUGGUAGCCUCACGCUGACCCAUACAGAAUGCAACAGAACUGUCCCUGCUGCAGAAGUCUCAGGGUUCUGCCCCAACUGCAUAGACUUCUUUCAUGGAACCGGCUCCUCUAUCCCCACAAGGCUUCUCCCCAGCACAGCUUCUACCUAGAAUCAGACGGAGAGCUUUAGACCAGAGAGAAAACGGAGGCGUGGUGACACCAAGUGACAUGCUCCAAGCCGCUGAACAUGUUGGUGGCAGAGCUAGAACUCGACACCAAGUCUCCUGGCUUUAGUCCACUGUGGCUCUCAAUCCUCGCACACGCAGAGCACAGACCGUUUUUGAUGGUGCUGCAGGGAACAAGGCCCCACCAGUGUGUGCUCUUCCUGUGUGUCCAAAUUUCCACCAAAGAGGGCUCCUCCCAGGAGAUUGGCUGCCGAACCUGUUCUUCCACGGCAGAAGCGGCGCAGCUAGCCCAGCACGACUCUGCUUAUUGUUACGCUUCUGCCACAUGUGUGUAAAUUUGUAAGGAACUUGCCGCUCCUGGCUGAAGACCCAGGGAGCUUUUGCGCUGUUAAUCUGUUUUCCUUUUUGCCCUCAGCCUUUGCUCUUCAGGGGAGAGGCCGUCGAUAAGGUCCAAUGGGGUGGGGUGACACCUCUUGGGCUCAGAAUCUCAAGGGUCCCAAGGUCCAGUCAGUGAGAGCCUUCUGUCUACAUGCCACCCUGUCCCCUCUGUGUGGAGCCCUCAGCAGGACCCUGGCCACAGGGCUCUGGAGCAAUAAUAUUACCCCAUGACAACUGUCGUGACUGCUACCUCAAAAAGUAAGACAGUCCUGCCAUCUACGUUCAUGGAGCUCCGAGGAGCAGCUCAGUUCUGUUUGUUGUGACAGGAUUUUAUAGCAAAAUUUGCAUGAAAGACAUGAAGCUCAGCAAUUGGUUUGCGACAGAGGCGUUUUCUUGCCAAAUGAGGAAGUGAGAUGAUCAGAACUGGCUUUAGCAUGAGCCUGGAUUGGGGAACUCAGCUGGUUCUGGGCUCAUACAACUUCACCUGUGAAGGUAUAUGGAAUUCAUGGUCAGCCCACAUCUUCUAGCUGCAGGUUCAGUUCAGGGUGAUCCCUACCUGGAGUUCUAGACUACCAGGCCAGUUUUGGAGGGUCCCGAAGGUAUGAAUAAGUGGUCCUGCAAACCCCAGCCCACCCUCACAUAUCCUAAAAGAAACUAUGGCAGUUGGAGCCUGAGUUUUCUGGGUGACUGCUUCUCUAUCUUUGUCUCUCUCUCUCGCCCACACCCGCCAUUACUGCCAAACUCAGUUGCAAGGAUUCCUGACCUAUUUUUGCUCUCUAGCCUCUGCCUUUGCUGACAAUGUCAGCCUCUGCUUUGAAAGCCCUUCCCUCUCUGGGCUGCUUCCAUUAGUCCUUCAGCUUCCGAAUCUUAUGGCUCUCACCAUCCCUUUCCUUGUGUUUCUGUUAUUCAUAUCCCAAAGCCCUUCCAAAUAGUGAUAUUCUCCAGGGCAAGGAUCCUCUCCAAUUUAUUAUCAUAUCCCUGGAUCCUCCUAUGACCUUUGGCAUAGCUGUUGGAGGAGUGAGCAGAUGAGUGAGUAAGUAACUGAUCUUCUCCUCACCCAUCCUCAGAGGAAGACCACGGGACAGGUGUGAGUGGUGCCUCCCAAAGAUACUCCAAAUACCAACCCCUAGCACCUGUGGAUGUGACUUUAUUUGGAAAUUGGGUCUUGGCAGAUGUCAUUAAGUUAAAGAUCUUGAGAUGAGAUCAUCCUGAAUUUAGAGUGGGCCUUAAAUCCUGAUAAAGAGACAGAAAAAGAGAAGACACAGAGACAUACACAGGAGAGAGCCAUGUGAAGCCAGAGGCAGAGAUUGGAAAGAUUUAUCUAUAAGAAAAGCCAAGAACUGCCAGAAGCUAGGAGAGAGGCAUGGGAUAAAUUUUCCCAUUCCUCACACCAUUCACAAAAAUUAACUUAAAAUGGAUCAAAGACUCAAAUGUAAAGCUAAAAUUAUGAAAACCCCUAAAAGAAAAGAUGGGAUAAAUCUUAAUGACCUAGCAUUAGGCAAUGGUUUCUUAGAUAUGACUCCAAAAGCAUGAGCAACAAAAGAAAAAAUAGUUAAGUUGGAUUUCAUUGAUACUAAAAAUAUUUGUAUUUCUAAGAACACCACCAAGAAAGUAUAAAAGACAGCCAAAAGAAUGGGAGAAAAAUUUUGCAAACCAUAUAUCUGAUAAGGGGUUUGUAUCUAGAAUAUAUAAAUAACUCUUAAAACUC